rnacentral:rRNA from 1 species
AUUGAACGCUGGCGGCAUGCCUUACACAUACCAGUCGAACGGCAGCACGGGUGCUUGCACCUGGUGGCGAGUGGCGAACGGGUGAGUAAUACAUCGGAACAUGUCCUGUAGUGGGGGAUAGCCCGGCGAAAGCCGGAUUAAUACCGCAUACGAUCUACGGAUGAAAGCGGGGGACCUUCGGGCCUCGCGCUAUAGGGUUGGCCGAUGGCUGAUUAGCUAGUUGGUGGGGUAAAGGCCUACCAAGGCGACGAUCAGUAGCUGGUCCGAGAGGACGACCAGCCACACUGGGACUGAGACACGGCCCAGACUCCUACGGGAGGCAGCAGUGGGGAAUUUUGGACAAUGGGCGAAAGCCUGAUCCAGCAAUGCCGCGUGUGUGAAGAAGGCCUUCGGGUUGUAAAGCACUUUUGUCCGGAAAGAAAUCCUUGGCUCUAAUACAGUCGGGGGAUGACGGUACCGGAAGAAUAAGCACCGGCUAACUACGUG